rfam:Drosophila mojavensis strain TSC#15081-1352.22 Ctg01_10226, whole genome shotgun sequence.
CUUUUGGGAUGCAUUUUGUGCAGAUGUCUAACGAUUGGAAACCCAUCACUGGGCAAAGUGUGUCUCAAAAU